rnacentral:rRNA from 1 species
UAGGUUAAUGAGGCGAACCGGGGGAACUGAAACAUCUAAGUACCCCGAGGAAAAGAAAUCAACCGAGAUUCCCCCAGUAGCGGCGAGCGAACGGGGAGCAGCCCAGAGUCUGAAUCAGUGUGUGUGUUAGUGGAAGUGUCUGGAAAGGCGCGCGAUACAGGGUGACAGCCCCGUACACAAAAAUGCACAUGCUGUGAGCUCGAUGAGUAGGGCGGGACACGUGGUAUCCUGUCUGAAUAUGGGGGGACCAUCCUCCAAGGCUAAAUACUCCUGACUGACCGAUAGUGAACCAGUACCGUGAGGGAAAGGCGAAAAGAACCCCGGCGAGGGGAGUGAAAAAGAACCUGAAACCGUGUACGUACAAGCAGUGGGAGCCCUGAUUUAUCAGGGUGACUGCGUACCUUUUGUAUAAUGGGUCAGCGACUUAUAUUCUGUAGCAAGGUUAACCGAAUAGGGGAGCCGGAGGGAAACCGAGUCUUAACUGGGCGUUAAGUUGCAGGGUAUAGACCCGAAACCCGGUGAUCUAGCCAUGGGCAGGUUGAAGGUUGGGUAACACUAACUGGAGGACCGAACCGACUAAUGUUGAAAAAUUAGCGGAUGACUUGUGGCUGGGGGUGAAAGGCCAAUCAAACCGGGAGAUAGCUGGUUCUCCCCGAAAGCUAUUUAGGUAGCGCCUCGUGAAUUCAUCUCCGGGGGUAGAGCACUGUUUCGGCAAGGGGGUCAUCCCGACUUACCAACCCGAUGCAAACUGCGAAUACCGGAGAAUGUUAUCACGGGAGACACACGGCGGGUGCUAACGUCCGUCGUGAAGAGGGAAACAACCCAGACCGCCAGCUAAGGUCCCAAAGUCAUGGUUAAGUGGGAAACGAUGUGGGAAGGCCCAGACAGCCAGGAUGUUGGCUUAGAAGCAGCCAUCAUUUAAAGAAAGCGUAAUAGCUCACUGGUCGAGUCGGCCUGCGCGGAAGAUGUAACGGGGCUAAACCAUGCACCGAAGCUGCGGCAGCGACACUGUGUGUUGUUGGGUAGGGGAGCGUUCUGUAAGCCUGUGAAGGUGUGCUGUGAGGCAUGCUGGAGGUAUCAGAAGUGCGAAUGCUGACAUAAGUAACGAUAAAGCGGGUGAAAAGCCCGCUCGCCGGAAGACCAAGGGUUCCUGUCCAACGUUAAUCGGGGCAGGGUGAGUCGACCCCUAAGGCGAGGCCGAAAGGCGUAGUCGAUGGGAAACAGGUUAAUAUUCCUGUACUUGGUGUUACUGCGAAGGGGGGACGGAGAAGGCUAUGUUGGCCGGGCGACGGUUGUCCCGGUUUAAGCGUGUAGGCUGGUUUUCCAGGCAAAUCCGGAGAAUCAAGGCUGAGGCGUGAUGACGAGGCACUACGGUGCUGAAGCAACAAAUGCCCUGCUUCCAGGAAAAGCCUCUAAGCAUCAGGUAACAUCAAAUCGUACCCCAAACCGACACAGGUGGUCAGGUAGAGAAUACCAAGGCGCUUGAGAGAACUCGGGUGAAGGAACUAGGCAAAAUGGUGCCGUAACUUCGGGAGAAGGCACGCUGAUAUGUAGGUGAAGCGACUUGCUCGUGGAGCUGAAAUCAGUCGAAGAUACCAGCUGGCUGCAACUGUUUAUUAAAAACACAGCACUGUGCAAACACGAAAGUGGACGUAUACGGUGUGACGCCUGCCCGGUGCCGGAAGGUUAAUUGAUGGGGUCAGCGCAAGCGAAGCUCUUGAUCGAAGCCCCGGUAAACGGCGGCCGUAACUAUAACGGUCCUAAGGUAGCGAAAUUCCUUGUCGGGUAAGUUCCGACCUGCACGAAUGGCGUAAUGAUGGCCAGGCUGUCUCCACCCGAGACUCAGUGAAAUUGAACUCGCUGUGAAGAUGCAGUGUACCCGCGGCAAGACGGAAAGACCCCGUGAACCUUUACUAUAGCUUGACACUGAACACUGGUCCUUGAUGUGUAGGAUAGGUGGGAGGCUUU